rnacentral:rRNA from 1 species
CCUACGGGAGGCAGCAGUAGGGAAUCUUCCACAAUGGGCGCAAGCCUGAUGGAGCAACGCCGCGUGGGUGAAGAAGGUCUUCGGAUCGUAAAACCCUGUUGUUAGAGAAGAAAGUGCGUGAGAGUAACUGUUCACGUUUCGACGGUAUCUAACCAGAAAGCCACGGCUAACUACGUGCCAGCAGCCGCGGUAAUACGUAGGUGGCAAGCGUUAUCCGGAUUUAUUGGGCGUAAAGGGAACGCAGGCGGUCUUUUAAGUCUGAUGUGAAAGCUUUCGGCUUAACCGGAGUAGUGCAUUGGAAACUGGGAGACUUGAGUGCAGAAGAGGAGAGUGGAACUCCAUGUGUAGCGGUGAAAUGCGUAGAUAUAUGGAAGAACACCAGUGGCGAAAGCGGCUCUCUGGUCUGUAACUGACGCUGAGGUUCGAAAGCGUGGGUAGCAAACAGGAUUAGAUACCCCGGUAGUC